UACGUAGGGUGCGAGCGUUAAUCGGAAUUACUGGGCGUAAAGCGUGCGCAGGCGGGCUUUUAAGCCAGACGUGAAAUCCCCGGGCUUAACCUGGGAAUGGCGUUUGGGACUGGGAGUCUGGAGUGCGGCAGAGGAGACUGGAAUUCCUGGUGUAGCAGUGAAAUGCGUAGAUAUCAGGAGGAACACCGAUGGCGAAGGCAGGUCUCUGGGCUGACACUGACGCUCAGGCACGAAAGCGUGGGGAGCAAACAGG
rnacentral:rRNA from 1 species